rnacentral:rRNA from 1 species
UUGAAAGGGAAACGAUUGAAGUCAGUCGUACCUUCAGGUAAUCAGCCUUUCGGGUGCGAUUCUGUGGAGUUGAGGAGCUUACACCUUCAUGCUUUGCAUAUUCGUGCUCUUGGGUGUACUUGCCGUGUGCUGGUUAACAUCAAUUUUGGUGGUCAUAAAUGACUGGAGGAAUGUAGCUUCGAUCUUGUAUUGAAGUGUUAUAGCCUUCGGUAGAUGUGAUGAUCGAGAUUGAGGAUUGCAACGGAUACUCUUCGGGGCUACCUGUCUGAUCUCUGAUCGUUGCUCUGGUGCCGAAAGCUUGCUUACGGUUAUCAAAGUCGAUGGUCAAUAGGUUAGACGGGUUAAAUUCGUUAGAUGUUGACGUA